AGAUCGGGAUAACNACCUGGAAACAGAUGCUAAUACCGGAUAACAACAGAUGAUGCCUAUCAACUGUUUAAAAGAUGGUUCUGCUAUCACUCUUGGAUGGACCUGCGGUGCAUUAGCUAGUUGGUAGGGUAACGGCCUACCAAGGCGAUGAUGCAUAGCCGAGUUGAGAGACUGAUCGGCCACAUUGGGACUGAGACACGGCCCAAACUCCUACGGGAGGCAGCAGCC
rnacentral:rRNA from 1 species